rnacentral:sRNA from 1 species
UCCCAGCCAGUACACACGCCGCCUCAA